CGGCGAGUGAGCGGGAGAGCUCAAUUUGAAAUCUGGUAGCCUUCGGCUGCCCGAGUUGUAAUCUAGAGAAGUGUUUUCCGUGCCGGCCCAUGUACAAGUCCCUUGGAACAGGGCGUCAUAGAGGGUGAGAAUCCCGUCCUUGACAUGGACCCCCGGUGCUUUGUGAUACACUUUCAACGAGUCGAGUUGUUUGGGAAUGCAGCUCAAAAUGGGUGGUGAAUUCCAUCUAAAGCUAAAUAUUGGCGAGAGACCGAUAGCGAACAAGUACCGUGAGGGAAAGAUGAAAAGCACUUUGGAAAGAGAGUUAAACAGUACGUGAAAUUGUUGAAAGGGAAACGAUUGAAGUCAGUCAUGCUCUUUGGAUUCAGCCGUUCUGCGGUGUAUUUCCAUUGAGUGGGGUCAACAUCAGUUUUGACCGCUGGAUAAAGGCACUAGGAAGGUAGCACUCUCGGGUGAACUUAUAGCCUAGCGUCAUAUACAGUGGUUGGGACUGAGGAACGCAGCAUGCCUUUAUGGCCGGGAUUCGUCCACGUACAUGCUUAGGAUGUUGACAUAAUGGCUUUAAACGACCCGUCUUGAAA
rnacentral:rRNA from 1 species